rnacentral:lncRNA from 1 species
AUUGCACUGGCUAAGGCCUCCAGGAUAAAGUUGAAUAAGAACAAUGGGAGCAAAUAUUUUUGCUACCUACCUAAUCUCUGUGAGUAAGACCAUUUAAAGGGACCAAAAAUGGAUGAACAUACUUGGCACUAUGAACUAAAAGAUCUUUGGCUAAAGAAGAGAUGAAGACUCAUUCAACUCCUACAAGUGAAUUAAGGAGCUCUGAGAAGGCAAAGCCAGCCCAGGAGGGUGGACACACUAAGAACAAUGUGCCUUGUCCUGAUACACAGUUGUGGUAUAGGUAACAAAAUCUGAGUAUCCAACCUAAGAUGUUACCCCUCACCUCACCAGAAUACCUCCAAUCCCUUCCCUGGAAACACAGAAUAAAUUCCUAUAGAAAGUUAUAAAGCAGAAAAACAA